rnacentral:rRNA from 1 species
GCGUUACUCGGAAUUACUGGGCGCAAAGCGUGCGUAGGUGGUUUGUUAAGUCUGAUGUGAAAGCCCUGGGCUCAACCUGGGAAUGGCAUUGGAUACUGGCAGGCUAGAGUGUGGCAGAGGGUAGUGGAAUUCCUGGUGUAGCAGUGAAAUGCGUAGAGAUCAGGAGGAACAUCCGUGGCGAAGGCGACUGCCUGGGCCAACACUGACACUGAGGCACGAAAGCGUG